GUGAGGAAUAUUGGUCAAUGGUCGCAAGACUGAACCAGCCAUGCCGCGUGCAGGAUGAAGCAUCUAUGGUGUGUAAACUGCUUUUGUACGGGAAGAAACACUGCUACGUGUAGCAGCUUGACGGUACCGUAAGAAUAAGGAUCGGCUAACUCCGUGCCAGCAGCCGCGGUAAUACGGAGGAUCCAAGCGUUAUCCGGAAUCAUUGGGUUUAAAGGGUCCGUAGGCGGCUUUAUAAGUCAGUGGUGAAAUCCGGCAGCUUAACUGUCGAAUUGCCAUUGAUACUGUAGGGCUUGAAUUGUUGUGAAGUAACUAGAAUAUGUAGUGUAGCGGUGAAAUGCUUAGAUAUUACAUGGAAUACCAAUUGCGAAGGCAGGUUACUAACAAUACAUUGACGCUGAUGGACGAAAGCGUGGGUAGCGAACAGGAUUAGAUACCCCAGUAGUCC
rnacentral:rRNA from 1 species